UACGUAGGGUGCAAGCGUUAAUCGGAAUUACUGGGCGUAAAGCGUGCGCAGGCGGUUUUGUAAGUCUGUCGUGAAAUCCCCGGGCUCAACCUGGGAAUUGCGAUGGAGACUGCAAGGCUAGAAUCUGGCAGAGGGGGGUAGAAUUCCACGUGUAGCAGUGAAAUGCGUAGAGAUGUGGAGGAACACCGAUGGCGAAGGCAGCCCCCUGGG
rnacentral:rRNA from 1 species